GUUUCCUUCCAUCCCUGAGGAUGUGUUGAUUCAAGCCUUUGAGGUUCUGGACAAAGACAGCAAGGGAUACUUGGAUUCUGAAGAGAUGGUGGAGUUGAUGACAAAGGAAGGAGAAAGUUUCACUCAGGAUGAGAUGACAGAAAUGCUGAUGGCACUUGCUGACCAUGAGAGGAGAAUCUAUUACAAAGAUAUCAUUUGCCAGUUGACAUUUGACCAAGAAAUAUAAAUGGUGUGACAGUCUUUAUGUUUUAUAACUAUGUAAAAUAACGGAAUAGC